rnacentral:rRNA from 1 species
GACGAACGCUGGCGGCGUGCCUAAUACAUGCAAGUCGAACGCAGUGGGGACGGGUGAGUAACACGUGGGUAACCUCCCAUCAGAGGGGAUAACACUUGGAAACAGGUGCUAAACCGAUACUGAUGGAUGGACCCGCGGUGCAUUAGAUAGUUGGUGAGGUAACGGCUCACCAAGGCCACGAUGCCUAGCCGACCUGAGGGAGUGAUCGGCCAAACUGGGACUGGGACACGGCCCAGACGCCUACGGUAGGCAGCAGUGGGGAAUCUUCGGCAAUGGACGAAAGUCUGACCGAGCGACGCCGCGUGAGUGAAGAAGGUUUUCGGAUCGUAAAACUCUGUUGUUAGAGAAGCGGUAUCUAGCCAGAAGGCCACGGCUAACUACGUGCCAGCAGCCGCGGUAAUAC